UGCCAUGUAUUGGAAGACCUUUACCGUAAUUCUGCAUCACUGCCUCUGAACAGACUCAAGUGCUCCAGCUGAGGUCUCAUCCAUGCUGAACACAGCCUUGUAGAAGACGAUGGAAGUUCAGUCAGACCCCUGGUUGCUGUUGCUGGGAUACAGUCAGCAGUGGUAGGACACAAUAUGAGAAGAAAAGAAGUCUGGGUUUUUUUUCAGUUAAUGUACCAGCAUAGAAGAGCCCUGCUUUUCAUCAUAUCCUCAUCAUGUUCAUGUUUGAAUGGUUACGGAUCUGCAUGAAGCAGUAAAGUCGCCUAUAAUUUAAUCGGCUGAAAUUAAGAGAAGAAUAAAAGAUUGAAAAAACAAGAAAAUGUGUAUAUAUAAAAAGUCCUUUGGAAAUGGAUAUGAUUUCAUCCAUCCACAGCUGAGACAGAGUUAAUGCUGCCCCUGCACAGGAAGAGGCAAGAAGAUAUAUCAGCCUCAAAAGGAAACAUGGAAACCGAACUCAAAAGGAAACUAGUCCAAAUGGAGAUGUGUGAAGUUGGGUGCAAUGAUUCCUUACUCAGUCUUCGUUAAGAAUUGCUCUCUCAGGUGGCCCAUAAUGACAGGGAUAGUACAUGCAACCAGUUAAGACUAAAUGUUUAAAGCCUGGUUAAGACCCAGUGAGACAUCUAAAGUCUUGAACAAAUACUGAACUACAGUCCUUAUUUUUCCUUUUUGCCUCAGAUAUGUCUGCUUCGGAAAAAUGAGAUGCCAACUUACAGACACUAAUGAAAUGUUUUGAGAAACAUGAACAAUACAAGUUACAAGGUCUUAUAAUUAUUUAUUUCACCUAUGGAUGUCACAACAAUUGUCUCCCCUGAGGACUGCAGGUACAGACAGUAGACUAGACAGGAAAGGAAGGGAAGAAGAAAGUAGGUUGGAGGUGCUUUGGCAAUGAGGUCCCUAUUUAGGGUGCUGUGGGAAGAGGAUGCUUGUCAAGCCUUGGCACAAGCAGAGUUUACUCUCAUAUGCAGCUGUUGCUCACUCAGGAAACUUUAGAAGGCCAGGACAAAGGUGAAGCAAGGUGAUGAUUGUACUGUCUCCAUGGGGUUGGCUCCCUCAGAGCCCCAGGGCAGCACUCCACCAGUUAUAGCUCAGACACAGAAAAUAGUUAAGAAGUUUGUGUUCAACUGUCCACAACAUAAAAUUCCCUCUUUCUUGCUCCUGAGCAUAUAGAAAUAGGCAUUCAUAUUGCUUUCUUUAACAUAUGCACAGAACAAAAUCACUUUCCAACCUGUAGUGCUCUUCCUACAGCUUCAUCUCCAUAUUUUCUAUUAGCUGGAUGAAAGCUCUUCAAACUCACUGAAAGAAAUUUGUUCCUUAUUUUCAUACAUUUGUUUACACCAGAGAUGCAUCUAGAAUUCCUUACCUUUGCCACAGAAAAGACAUUAAGAAGAACA